CCUGCAACCUCUCGGUUCCUAGUUGGAUUUGCUAACCACCGAGCCCCGAGGAGAGCUCUAGGUAUGCUGUUUUUAAUUCUAACAUUUCACUGAUCCCCCCCCCAACCCAAAUAAUUUCUGCCUCGUGGAUGUUAUAAAACUCAGAGGCAAAACUGCCUCUUAGGAGCAUUCCCACAGUACCUCUACCACUGCCUAGAAGCUAAAACGUUGAACGAAGUUUGGGGCUGAGAAGGGAGGAACACUUGACAGAAAUGAGCCUUUUAUUUUAAUAUUUAUCAUUCUGUUUCAAUCACAGGCAUGGCUAAUCAUUCUACAAGGAAUAGAUCUUAUAGGAGCAGCGCAGACUGGAACAGGAGAGACAUUGUCCUACUUCAUGUCUGGAUUUAUUCGUUAUUUUCUGAAGACAAGGAGCGUGCCACACGGGGCUCGUUCUGCGGACCAGAUGCAAGGGUGGGCUCCGGGGCCUCAGGCCACGAGGCGUUUCCUCCAGAGCGAGGGCUGGCGGUGCUGAGAGCCGGAGGCGCGGGGUUGAGCACGCGCGGCCGUAAUGGGGCGCCGCCCCGGCCUCUUGUGCCUCGAGAGACGUGGAGGUCCUGCGCGCCGCCUUCCUCGCCUCGAGGCCCGGCGUGGAGAAGGGGCCUGAGAGGGAAGUGGGAGGGAGAGCCUCGGAGUGCAAGUCCUCUGCAGCGACGCGCCUGUCCGUGUCCAGAAAAGGCCUGUGAAGUGAAGCGACUCGCUGCUGCGCCUCUAAAAGCGAGGUUCUUUGUGAGUUGGUGCUGCUGCUUUGUUUCCGUGAAAUGCGUUAGGUUUUCGGGAGAGGGGAUUUUUAAAUUUCUUUCCCUUGGAAUGUCCUGCUUGAGAAUGCUGUGCUUACUGAUUUGGGCCUUAGGAUUUCCGCACCCAAUUAGAGGCAGGGGCCUGAUGUAUAGAUGCCCCUUUUCUGGUGCCCACUUAAUGCAGUUAUACUGUGAGGAAAAGCAGAACAAAGGAUACUCAUCUCUUACUCCCCAAGCAAGAAAUUUUUUCCAUCAUUAGUUCAGGUCAGUCUAGAGAUUCAGCUGCAACUGAUUAAAAUCAGACUCUGGAGUUCCCAUUGUGGCUCAGUGAUUAGGAAAUCUAACUAGGGAUCAUGAGGUUGCGGGUUUGAUCCCUGGCCUCGCUCAGUGGGUUAAGGAUCCGGUGUUGCUGUGAGCUCUGGUGUAGGUCACAGACUCGGCUCAGAUCUGGCAUUGCUGUGGCUGUGGUGUAGGCCAGCAGCUACAGCUCUGAUUAGACCCCUAGCCUGGGAACCUCCAUACGCUGUGUGCACAGCCCUAGAAAAGACAAAAAGAAUUUAAAAAUAAAAUCAGACUGCUUGUUAAGUUACA
rnacentral:lncRNA from 1 species